UGAGCAGCUGCCUUAAAAGUAAAGGCUGAAGAAGCUGGAACUCUUCAGAGUGGAAAGAAAACAGCUGAUGGUUGAUAUGGUCAAGAUUUGCAAAACCAUGAAGGGAGAAGAGAAGGUAGAUACACAGCUGUUACUAGAUCCUGUAAUCCAAGAACCAGGUGGACUAACUGCAGCAAAAAAGCAGCUGAGCUUGAUUUUUUUUAUUACCACAGGAAGUUAGGGAGGCAAGCUGUUUCAGCAGGGUCACAAAGGAGAAAGCAGCGUCAUAGGCAACAAGUCUAUAAAAAAAUCUUUAGAGGCACAGGUUUACCCUGUAAUUGUCCAAAUACAAUAAUGGAACAUCCUGGGUGAAUUAAUUGAAGCCCAGAAAACAAGAAUAAAAAUGAAUCUUCAGGAAGUUUCAGAAUGAAAAUGAAGUUCAGGCUUCAGGAACAUUCUAGUUCAGUUGUUAGGUUCUGUUAAAUUGGCCAAACAAGGAGAUCUACAGGAAGACUUCAUGCCCACACAUCAAAACUUAUUUGGAAGAUGAGAGCCAGUGGUACGGAAUAUCUGUAAACGACACAGGAGCAUAACUGAUCUGAGGAUGGCCUGUCAAUGGUUAUCUUGCAUGUAUGUGCUUAAUUUUAUUAGAACUGCAACAUUGUUGGCUUUUUGAUAUGCACUUUGAGCAAAAUGAGUGCGACACUGGCCUCUUCCCAACACUUUGUAACUAAUAAACUGGAUUGGAUAACAGAACACUACAAGUAAUGUAAAAAUGUAUUUGAUUAAUUUGAUAGUUUUGACAGAGCUAGCAUUUUGCUGUUAUUGCUCCACCUUGCCUGAGAGUGGGGAAUAUAUUUUAAUUGACUUGUUUCAUUUAAAGGCUUAAUCAAAAACUUUUUGAUUAUGUUACUAUUGGUUCCAUGUUAAUUAGAAAACAUUAGGACCUUUGUUUACUGAUUUUAUUGGAAUAAUGCCUUGUAUCCUUUCCCCUAGUAAGAGAACAUUCAAAGACUUUCAAAUAGAAUACACAGUCUUGUUUGAGAAUACAUGUUACAUGUAAGCCAGAGGACUGAAGAGUAAACAGAAAUCAACAUUGUUAAUAUAUGUAGGACUAAGCCUGCCUUUAUGUUAACAAAUACACAGGAGCUGAACAACACCAAGGGUGUACCUCUGGCCAGUCAAAAUUCACAGAGUUCUGGACUAUCAGAUAUUAAUCUGUUUACACACGAUCUUUCAAUAUGGCUGAAUGCCUCCAGAUCUUCAUUUUUACUGCAUCAAGAACUUCAUGUAGAUAAUAAGUUGUGUGGAAAUGGCACCACUGUCUCCAGUGAUGCCACAGAGCCUGUUUGCCUCUGGCACUUAUAAGCUUAGUUUUGAACUGACCAAGAAUUUUCGAGGUAUCUUUUGAUAUCAAAUAUGAAUUUGUUGAAAUGAAGGGGAAGGGAAGUGGAAAGAAAAGGAAAAAAAAAAUUUGUAAUUUGUCAGAGCAAAGUGUUUGCAAUCUGCAGAAUGAAAGACAAUGUGGAGUGGGCUUUUUUUUGGUGUUUGGUUGAUUGGCGUUUGUUUGGGGUUGUUGUUCUUGUUUAGUUUAUUUGACUAAGUUCUUGUUUUAAAAUGUUAGGUAAUUUUGACAAAAAAACAUUGGUAUGUUUACAAUGGUUGAGUUCAAACUGAAACUUUUCAAAUUACUCAAAGUGUAUGAGAGUGAACUUGCAACGGUGUUUGAGGUUUUCAAUUUUACGUGCACACUAGAAGUGGAAGAACAGUGUCUCUCCAAAAUGUUCAGAGAUGAUAGAAUUCUUUUCCUCCCUACUCUAAUGCAGUAUCUAAAUGCCAGGAAUCAUCUAUGCGGGGUCUGAUCUCGCCAUCAGAUCUUGUUUAUUACAAUAAGAUAAGCAAUAAAGCUGAGCACUCCAACCUUUUUGAAAAUGAAGCAAUAUCUUUUUUUAAGUCUAUUGGCUGCUUGGGUAUGUACCCAUUACUACUAGAUAGUAAACGAAUGAAAGUGCACAUCAUUAAAAACUAAAGGAGGCAAACAAUAGAAACAUAUGACAUAGAAGAAUUGAAUAUUCUGUCAACAAAAAGUGUAAUAUUUAAGAGUAACUGAAAGUUUGCUAUACAAGCAAAUAACAAGUGAGAAAUUGCAUUAUAUUCAUUUAGAAUAGAGGAAAAUGAGUGUGGAGGCUUGAAUGUUAUUUGUGACUGAACUGAUGAAUUAUAAGGAGUUGGAUGAUUUAUUUGGAUUUCAGCUUAAUUUCUGUUUCUUCUCUCACUAGUAACCAUGUAUAUUUAGAUUGUCACCGAGGAAGAAUUAUUUCUUGAUAUGUGUUUUUCUGCAGAGUGCCUAGUACAAGUGAGUCUUGAGCUCAGUGUAGGAUUUCUAGGGACCCUAUCAUACAAUAAUAAGUAAA